rnacentral:snoRNA from 1 species
CGCAAGGAUGAACCCCAGAUAGGGACAGCUUAUACUUUUGUAUUUGAUGAGAACCCUGGGUGAAAUAUUUUAGUAGAUGCUUCAGUUUCUGAGC